AUAUUUACCUGGCAGGGGAGGUAUCAUGAUCACGAAGGUGGUUUUCCCAGGGCAAGGCUUAUUCGUUGCACUCCAGAUGUACUGACCCCUGUGAUUUCCCCAAAUGUGGGAAACUCGACUGCAUAAUUGUGGUAGUGGGGGACUUCGUUCAUGCUUUCCCCUG
ensembl:snRNA U1 U1 spliceosomal RNA